AAGUAAUAAAGUUAUCUGAUUUGGCAAGAUAUGUAAGUCAAUUGAAAAGUUAAAAAUUAUUGGCGGUGUUUAGUUAUAUUCUGAGAAUCUUGCUAAAUUAAAAUGAUAUUACACAAUUUAUCUUAUCUUAAUUAUUUAGUUUAUGUAUUGCUGUUAAAUUUAUUAUUUAUUAUGAAUUUAAAAUAAGUUUUAUUUGUUAGGGCAAAGAAUUCAAGUCAAAAUGUAGUAAUAUUAAGGUUUUAGUGAGUUGCGUUUUUCUAGAGAGUAAAGAGUUUAAAAAGAUUAUGAAAUUAUUUUUAGAAUUUGGAUUAGGAGGUAAAAAGAGAGUAGUUAGCUUUUUUGAUAAAAUUUACAUUCAAGUACAUAUCGCCCGUCGC
rnacentral:rRNA from 1 species